CUUGCUUGCUUGCUUCCACCUAAAUGCUGCAGCUGGAAGGAAGUUGGUGAGAUUUCCUGGCUGAGAUGUGCUCUCAUAGGAAUCCUUGCUGCGAAAAUAGGCUCAUGGGCCAUUGAGAGCCAGAAGUGACGAGCUUUUUUGGCACCCGGGAAUCACAGAUAGCUGUUCUGCAGUUGCCAUCAUGCCUCAAUGACAAUAUAUUGAAUCGCACCGCAAGUGCUAUGUAUAACGUUUGGAUACCAUACUUAGUAUCAUUUGGGACUAAGCUUUACCAUAAAUAGUGCCAUGCUGAGAAAAUACAGAUGAAAAAGACUAUUAAGAUGCAUGAAAAGAGAAACCGCAAGCAAAAGCACGACGGGAAGACGCCACAGGGAGCAGUUCCUGCCUGUCUGCUGGACAGAGAGGGGCAGUCGAGGGCAAAAUUACUUUCCAACAUGAUUAAGCAGAAACAAGAAGAGAAGGCAGGAAAAUGGGAAGUUCCUCUACCCAAAGUUCGUGGCCAAGGAGAAUCAGAAGUAUUGAAAGUUAUUCAAACAGGAAAGAAAAAAAACGAAGGCAGGGAAGAGAAUGGUUACUAACGCGUGCUCUGUUGGUGAUGGUUUGACAUAAAAUGCAUCUAAAUAUGAAAGGUUCAUUAGGCCACUGGGCCCAUGCUUCCAAAAGCCCAUGUCACACACCCUGAGCUGAAAGCCACCUUUAGCCUGUCAAUAUGUGGUGUGAACAAGAAUCCAUCAUCCCCAUUGUAUUCAAAUCUGGUGUGAUCACCAAAGGUGCAGUUACUGAGAGAAUGUGAGCGAGCCAGGCCUUGUGACACAGGAGGGAGGGUGAUUUGGGGUGAGUGUGCCCAAGUUACUGAAAACAACAGGUGCAUAAGUGAGGUCUUGCUGAUCUGACAGUGACGUCGUACCUGUCACUCCAGUCACUACCAAAGACUACCCACCGUCAGGAAAACACCAUCACUGGGAUCUCCCUGAACCACCAACCUUACCCC
rnacentral:lncRNA from 1 species